CGCGUAGGCGGGAUGGCAAGUCGGUCGUGAAAUCCUUCGGCUCAACCGAAGAACGUCGAUCGAUACUGCUGUUCUUGAGGAUUGCAGAGGAGACUGGAAUUCCCGGUGUAGCGGUGAAAUGUGUAGAGAUCGGGAGGAACACCGGUGGCGAAGGCGGGUCUCUGGGCAAUUCCUGACGCUGAGGCGCGAAAGCGUGGGAGCAAAC
rnacentral:rRNA from 1 species